CGUGCCGCUGUCGUGCUGCUUCAUGCUGCCGGCGAACACCGUGGCCGGGUCGUUGCGCUCAUAGUCAAUGCGAAUGACGCCGUGGAGGCAGUCCUUCUCGAUACGGACGCCGUGCCGACCCUGACGGUAGAGGUACCCGGUGCAGUAGAGAGUCUUGCCGUCGGGGCUGAAGGCUGCGCUGGUGGGGCUGACGCGCCAGUGCAGGU
rnacentral:rRNA from 1 species